ensembl:lncRNA HOXA11-AS HOXA11 antisense RNA
ACUUGAAGUUGCCGGCGCGCCCGUUGCAGCCGCCGCCGCCGCCGCGGAGGUCGCCGUGGCCGCCGGGGGCCCCUUCUCGGCGCUCUUGUCCCCGGGGUAGUCGGAGGAGGCGAGGUUUUCCGGGGUGCCGUAGGCUGUCUCGAAAAACUGGUCGAAAGCCUGUGGCAGGACGCCGUUCCUGCCCACGGUGCUAUAGAAAUUGGACGAGACUGCGGGGGUGGGGUGGUGGUAGACGUUGGCCGAGCUCUUGGCCAGCACGUCGCCAGGCACGCCGGCCGCGCUGGGCGCCUGCAGGCAGUCUCUGUGCACGAGCUCCUCCGCGGAGUAGCAGUGGGCCAGAUUGCCGCGGGGGUGCCAUUUAGUGGCGGGCUCAAUGGCGUACUCUCUGAAGGUCACUUCGCGCACGGGUUGGACCUGGGGCAGGUUGGAGGAGUAGGAGUAUGUCAUUGGGCGCGAAGACGGGGUCUGGGGCAGAAAAGAAGGGAGGCUGGAGAAAUCUGGACCCGAGACGUAGAGGUCCAACAGCCGAGCUUAGCCCACCGGGCUCUGGGAAAGACCCGACUGAGGCUAAAGCCGCCCCGGAAGGCCAAGUCCGAGUUCCAUUUCUUGAAGAGGCCGGCGCGCGUAAGGCUGUGACAUUGGCCCUGGCGACUGGCUUCCCAGGAGCUGUUCUUUCUCAGGAGCUCCACAGCGCGGGCCAUCUCCAGAAA